UGACUCAGUGGUAGAGUGCUUGCCUGGCAUGCAUGAGGCCCUGGGUUCGAUUCCUCAG
rnacentral:tRNA from 1 species